GGGGGUGUUCCGGAUUCGACCGGCCCGGGGUGGGAUCGGUUGCAUGCCGAGGAUGACCGUUGGCCUCGUUAAUCAUCGGUUAAAACAACAACUGCGAACGAAGAGUUUGCUCUGGCGGCUUAAUCUCCCGCCACAUCGCCCCGUCGAGGCACAAUAGACGGCAAGCGGUGUCAUUCAUGGUGCUGGCUUCGAACCUUUUCCGGCCGGGUUCGGGCGAGAUUUCAGACCGGAUAGUCCGAAAGGCUCUCUUGUUUGCCGGAGAACCGACUGGACGAUAAGCAAAUUCAAUGACAAAAUAAGCAUGUAGUGAUCGGUUCUGUACCGUGUCGACACGCGGGUUCG
rnacentral:tmRNA from 1 species